rnacentral:tRNA from 1 species
UCCUUGGUGGUACAAUGGUUAAUGCGCUCAGCUGCUAACUGAAAGGUUGGAGGUUCAAGUCCACCCAGAGGUA